rnacentral:rRNA from 2 species
GGUCAAGCGAACAAGUGCAUGUGGUGGAUGCCUUGGCGAUCACAGGCGAUGAAGGACGCGGUAGCCUGCGAAAAGCGGGGGGGAGCUGGCAAACGAGCUUUGAUCCCCCGAUAUCCGAAUGGGGAAACCCACUCCUUAUGGAGUAUCCGUAACUGAAUACAUAGGUUACGUGAAGCGAACGCGGUGAACUGAAACAUCUAAGUAACCGCAGGAAAAGAAAUCAACCGAGAUUCCCAGAGUAGUGGCGAGCGAAAUGGGACCAGCCUGUACUCUUUAUCUUCAUUGUUAGUCGAAGGCUCUGGAAAGUGCCGCCAUAGCAGGUGAUAGCCCUGUAGACGAAAACAGCGAGGAAGAACUGGGUGUACGACAAGUAGGGCGGGACACGUGAAAUCCUGUCUGAAGAUGGGGGGACCAUCCUCCAAGGCUAAAUACUCGUGAUCGACCGAUAGUGAACCAGUACCGUGAGGGAAAGGCGAAAAGAACCCCGGGAGGGGAGUGAAAUAGAUCCUGAAACCGCAUGCAUACAAACAGUCGGAGCCUCGUAAGGGGUGACGGCGUACCUUUUGUAUAAUGGGUCAGCGACUUACAUUCAGUGGCAAGCUUAACCGAUUAGGGCAGGCGUAGCGAAAGCGAGUCCGAACAGGGCGUUCAGUCGCUGGGUGUAGACCCGAAACCAGGUGAUCUAUCCAUGGCCAGGAUGAAGGUGCGGUAACACGUACUGGAGGUCCGAACCCACUAACGUUGAAAAGUUAGGGGAUGAGCUGUGGAUAGGGGUGAAAGGCUAAACAAACCUGGAAAUAGCUGGUUCUCUCCGAAAACUAUUUAGGUAGUGCCUCGUGUAUCACCUUCGGGGGUAGAGCACUGUCAUGGUUGUGGGGUCCAUUGCGGAUUACUACGCCAUAGCAAACUCCGAAUACCGAAGAGUGCAAUCACGGGAGACAGACAUCGGGUGCUAACGUCCGGUGUCAAGAGGGAAACAACCCAGACCGCCAGCUAAGGUCCCCAAAUAUUGCUAAGUGGGAAACGAAGUGGGAAGGCUAAAACAGUCAGGAGGUUGGCUUAGAAGCAGCCAUCCUUUAAAGAAAGCGUAAUAGCUCACUGAUCGAGUCGUCCUGCGCGGAAGAUGUAACGGGGCUAAGCAAUAUACCGAAGCUGCGGAUGCAUAUUUAUAUGCAUGGUAGGAGAGCGUUCCGUAAGCCUGCGAAGGUGCAUUGAAAAGUGCGCUGGAGGUAUCGGAAGUGCGAAUGCUGACAUGAGUAGCGAUAAAGGGGGUGAAAGGCCCCCUCGCCGUAAGCCCAAGGUUUCCUACGCAACGUUCAUCGGCGUAGGGUGAGUCGGCCCCUAAGGCGAGGCAGAAAUGCGUAGCUGAUGGGAAGCAGGUUAAUAUUCCUGCACCAUUGUUAAAUGCGAUGGGGGGACGGAUCGCGGAAGGUUGUCCGGGUGUUGGAAGUCCCGGUCCUUGCAUUGGAGAAGGCGCUUAGGCAAAUCCGGGCGCGGAAUUCAAGGGUGCGAGGCCAUUCACUUCGGUGAAGAAGCAACUGGAAGUGGUUCCAAGAAAAGCCUCUAAGCUUCAGUUUAACAAGACCGUACCGCAAACCGACACAGGUGGGCGAGAUGAGUAUUCUAAGGCGCUUGAGAGAACUCGGGAGAAGGAACUCGGCAAAUUGGUACCGUAACUUCGGGAUAAGGUACGCCCCUGUAGCUUGACUGGCCUGCGCCAGGAGGGUGAAGGGGUUGCAAUAAACUGGUGGCUGCGACUGUUUAAUAAAAACACAGCACUCUGCAAACACGAAAGUGGACGUAUAGGGUGUGACGCCUGCCCGGUGCCGGAAGAUUAAAUGAUGGGGUGCAAGCUCUUGAUUGAAGUCCCGGUAAACGGCGGCCGUAACUAUAACGGUCCUAAGGUAGCGAAAUUCCUUGUCGGGUAAGUUCCGACCUGCACGAAUGGCGUAACGAUGGCCACACUGUCUCCUCCCGAGACUCAGCGAAGUUGAAGUGUUUGUGAUGAUGCAAUCUCCCCGCGGCUAGACGGAAAGACCCCAUGAACCUUUACUGUAGCUUUGCAUUGGACUUUGAACCGAUCUGUGUAGGAUAGGUGGGAGGCUAUGAAGCGUGGACGCCAGUCUGCGUGGAGCCGUCCUUGAAAUACCACCCUGGUUUGUUUGAGGUUCUAACCUUGGUCCGUUAUCCGGACUGGGGACAGUGCAUGGUAGGCAGUUUGACUGGGGCGGUCUCCUCCCAAAGUGUAACGGAGGAGUACGAAGGUACGCUAGGUACGGUCGGAAAUCGUGCUGAUAGUGCAAUGGCAUAAGCGUGCUUAACUGCGAGACCGACAAGUCGAGCAGGUGCGAAAGCAGGUCAUAGUGAUCCGGUGGUUCUGUAUGGAAGGGCCAUCGCUCAACGGAUAAAAGGUACUCUGGGGAUAACAGGCUGAUACCGCCCAAGAGUUCAUAUCGACGGCGGUGUUUGGCACCUCGAUGUCGGCUCAUCUCAUCCUGGGGCUGUAGCCGGUCCCAAGGGUAUGGCUGUUCGCCAUUUAAAGAGGUACGUGAGCUGGGUUUAAAACGUCGUGAGACAGUUUGGUCCCUAUCUGCCGUGGGCGCUGGAUAUUUGAAGGGGGCUGCUCCUAGUACGAGAGGACCGGAGUGGACGAACCUCUGGUGUACCGGUUGUCACGCCAGUGGCAUCGCCGGGUAGCUAUGUUCGGAAGAGAUAACCGCUGAAAGCAUCUAAGCGGGAAACUCGCCUUAAGAUGAGAUAUCCCCGGGGCUUCGAGCCCCUUGAAGGGUCGUUCAAGACCAGGACGUUGAUAGGUCAGGUGUGGAAGCGCAGUAAUGCGUUAAGCUAACUGAUACUAAUUGCCCGUAAGGCUUGAUCCU